rnacentral:rRNA from 1 species
CCUACGGGAGGCAGCAGUGGGGAAUAUUGCACAAUGGGGGGAACCCUGAUGCAGCGACGCCGCGUGAGUGAAGAAGUAUUUCGGUAUGUAAAGCUCUAUCAGCAGGGAAGAAAAUGAUGGUACCUGACUAAGCAGCCCCGGCUAACUACGUGCCAGCAGCCGCGGUAUUACGUAGGGGGAAAGCGUUAUCCGGAUUUACUGGGUGUAAAGGGAGCGCAGACGGCUGUGCAAGUCUGGAGUGAAAGGAGGGGGCCCAACCCCCGGACUGCUCUGGAAACUGUAAAGCGGGAGUGCAGGAGAGGUGAGCGGAAUUGCUAGGGGAGCGGUGAAAUGCGGAGAGAUUAGGAGGAACACCAGUGGCGAAGGCGGCUGACUGGACUGCAACUGACGUUGAGGUGCGAAAGCGUGGGGAGCAAACAGGAGUAGAGACCCGUGUAGUC